UAUAUGAUGAAAUUAAUUGGUCCGUGUUGAUGAUUUUCAUUGAUUAUAUUUUUCCAAUUACUGAUGACU